UACGUAGGGUGCGAGCGUUGUCCGGAAUUAUUGGGCGUAAAGAGCUUGUAGGCGGUUUGUCGCGUCUGCUGUGAAAAUCCGAGGCUCAACCUCGGACUUGCAGUGGGUACGGGCAGACUAGAGUCCGGAAGAGGAGAGUGGAAUUCCUGGUGUAGCGGUGAAAUGCGCAGAUAUCAGGAAGAACACCCGUGGCUAAGGCGGCUCUCUAGUACGGUACUGACGCUGAGACGCGAAAGCGUGGGGAGCGAACAGG
rnacentral:rRNA from 1 species